CGUAGGGGCAAGCGUUAUCCGGAUUUACUGGGUGUAAAGGGAGCGUAGACGGCGAUGCAAGUCUGAAGUGAAAGCCCGGGGCUCAACCCCGGGACUGCUUUGGAAACUGUGUGGCUGGAGUGCAGGAGAGGUAAGUGGAAUUCCUAGUGUAGCGGUGAAAUGCGUAGAUAUUAGGAGGAACACCAGUGGCGAAGGCGGCUUACUGGACUGUAACUGACGUUGAGGCUCGAAAGCGUGGGGAGCAAACAGGAUU
rnacentral:rRNA from 1 species